rnacentral:piRNA from 1 species
GAAGGAAGUCAGGUUAGGAACUCAAGC